GGCUGGCGGCCGGGACCCCCGGCUCUGGGCCUCCCAGUUUGGGCCUCAGUUUCCACAUCCACAAACCGGGGAGAUCCCUUUCUGGAGGCCGAGUGAGCGGGCUCCUCCCCAAAGCAAAGAGAACUCCGAGCCUCGUACUCUUCCCGUCUGAAGUCCGUGGGAACACCAGCUCCAACAGAUCAUUCUGCCCUUUCGUGGAAACAAGAUUCCAGGGAUGUUCUUCCAAAGGGAACCUUAGAUUUUGCGGCGGAACCUGUGUCCAGAUAGGAAGCCUACACACGGAUGGAGGGAGGCUACCUGAGUGCAGGAAAUGAACACGUCUUGACUAACCUCAGCAUUUAGCUGGGAUGCGCCCAGGAUGCCAGUGUUCCCCAGGAACUCCGUGUGAAAACCACUGAACUAGAGUUUGGAAGUUAAAAAAACUGCUCAGCCUCCCGCCUCUGCGAAGUUUGCCCAUCUGUCUGGAAAAAGGCAGUUCAGGCCAUGUUUUUCCCAAGCAAUAGAAAAAGCCAGUCUCAACAAAGCGAGAAGUUUGUCCUAAGAAGCUGGAAGUUUACUUAAGAGAUAUUUCAACAACCUAUGUCUUCGGUAAGUCUCCCCUGAAACAGACUCCUAGAUGGAGACGUGCAUACAGGGUGUUGGGGUUAUUUUGUUUUUGUGUGUGUGCUUUUUGGAGGUGGAAUGUAUUCUUAGGAAUGACACGUGUACGGCAGUAAGGGAAGCAGAAUUGGGCAGAGGGAGGUGAACUUCGAUGCUGUGGCACCAGGGGCCUCAGCUGAGCCCGUGGAGGCUGGAUAACGGUGCAGAGUUGUCCCCAAUAAAACGAGGUGUGGCCUCACAUCCCCAGUGACCAGCCAUUUGAUGCUGGGGGCCCCAGGGAGGGGUGGAACCUUGGCCAAGGCAGCUCCCUCGCCAAGGGCCCUUCAGAGGGAGCUCAGCUGUGAACCACCAACAGCCAACCCUGCAGCUGCUAUAACCUGCCAUGCAGCUGUGAGCCACAUUCAGAGUUCAAAAUCUAGGGAAAAUGUUGAACUGUCAUGAUGUCAGACAUGACAGAUUUCAGACGGACAACUGUCCUAGAUUUCCUCUAGGAGCUGAGAUUUGGGGAGGGGAGGAGAAAGGGCCAUCGUGUGACUGUCAGUUUUCCGCAGUGGAGAUGGGCCAGAGCCAGGCCUAGAUGGCCUGAUACAAGCCAGCUAUGUCUGUGGCUUGACGGAGAAGUCUGUGUUUUUCUUCUCGACUGCAGAAAUUAAGGAAGUAGAAUAACUGGACUGCUACACCUGGAAACUUAACUCCAUAGCCCAGAAUCAGAGUAGGUACUCUACACGUGUCUUUUUGCAUUGAAUAGCAUUUCACUGGUUUGGCGUUUCUGACUGAGGGAUCCAUUGGCUGUCUUUGCGGAAAGUGGGGGAAUUUUUCUUGGAGUAUACCUGCACCAGUAUGCCCACCUUGACUUAAUCGUAUGGGGGUCUACAAGUCUUGUUCAUAAAAUGUGUCGAGCUUGAGGAAGAAAAGGUAAGAAGAUGAGUUUAUUAGACCUUGGCAAAACAAAACAAACAAAACGCCACAACCGAGCAAACAACCUCAUCCACCUGUGGUUCCCUCCGUGGCUGACACUUUACAUUCCCACAGCGUUUUCCUUGUAUAUAUCACUUAGCAUCUAUCUUUUGUUAAAGGGCUUCUUGAUUUUGUUUGUUUUUAAAGCUGUUGUUCUAUCAGGUUGUAAAUGCCUGGAGAGGAGGAUCUCCAGACAUCCUGCCUUGUUUUCUUCACAGUCAGGGAUGAUAUUCAAGGUAGUUAACACCCAGUACAGAACAGGAACCAACCAAAUCAAAUGGACACUGGUCUCAGCAAUUUGUACAGCCAUACUGGUAUGUACAGCUGAGUAUGUUUUCUGCACACAGAAGGCUUCCAAUAAACGAUUGUUGGAUUGAAUUUCAUUGGUUUGGUGUCCUGGCCCUGGCAUCUAAUGGCUUUCUUUCAGAAUUCAGGCUACUUUUUCUUGCCAGGAUAUGACCAUAACCAUUUUUCCUCCUUGAUUUAAUCCUGCAAGAGUCUUUGAGUAAUUGUGAAGAACUUUGUGAGUUCUUCAAACCUGCACUGUCCAAUAUGGUAGACACUAGCCACAUAUAUAAGGUUGCUAGAUAAAAUAUAGGACACCUAGUUAAAUUUGAAUUUCAGAUAAAUAAAGAAUAAAUUUGUAGUGUAAAUGUGUCCCAUGCAAUAUUUGGGAUAUACUUAAACUACAAAAUGAUCUGUUGCUUAUCUGAAAUUAAUAAUUAACUGAGCAUCCUAUGUAUUUAUUUGCUAAAUCUGGUAACCCUACACACGUGGCUAUCUAAACUUAAAUUAAUUGAAAUGUAAUAAAAAAUUUAAAAUUUAUUUUCUCAGCCUCACUGGCCACAUUUCAAGAGCUCUGUAGCCACAUAUGUGGCUAAUGGUUCCCAUCUUGAACAGCACAGAUAUAGAACAUUUCUAUCAUUGCAGAAAGUUUUACUGGACACUAACUUUGCCAAGCAAACGAUAGCAGGAAAGUUUUGUGUAUUUUACACAUUAAAAAAAUAUAUAUUUGGAGCCUAGAAGACCCCUUCUAACAUAGCCAAGAAGCCACAUUCUUCAUGUUUCGGUUUGUUACUUUCACUGAAUAUGCAGGAUAUUUGUUCCAGAUAAAUGAGCCUGUAUGAGAGAAGCAGCUCCUGCAAACCUACGUUUUUGGACGCUGUUGUCCUGCUUUUCUCCUGGGACUGCCAGGAAAUGUCAGCUGUCAGAUCAGAGCAAAUCAAAAUUUAAAGAGUCCUAAAUGAAAAAUAAAUGUGUUGUUAUUUGACUUAAUAGUCUCAUUAUUCAUAGAUUUUCUUAAAUUGAUAAGCAGAUAAUAUUAUCACCUAGAAUAUUUGUUUUAUAACCCAAGUCUGUGAUGAACCUGGUAAACACGGCAGAAGUCUUCCCUCUCUUAAUUAGCCUUUUGGGAGAAAACCUGUUUUGAAUCACUGCCUGCAGCCCCGGGAGUCUUAUAAGGAGCAAGAGUAGAUUAAGCUCUGGGAGGGGCACAUGCCGAGAGCUGAUUUUUACAUAUGACUUGGUGAAUCUCAAACAGAAACUGGCUAACAUGCCAGAUGGGACCAGCGUAAAAGUGACAAGACUGCAUCAAUGUCAAGGGCAGGGAUCUAAAGGACUUGACAUAUUAAACAGUUGUACACCAAAAUAUUAUAAAAAACAAAAUUAAAGACAAAUGACUUAAGUUUGAAAAUUUUGCUAUGUGUGUGACAGAGUUGAUGCCAUCUGUACGUAAGAAGUUCUCACAGAUCAAUAAGAAAAAGACAAAUGCCUCAGUAGAAAAAUGACCAAAUAAUAGGAAAGUCACAAAAUAAAAAAUACAAAAGGAUAAUAUACCUUUAGUGUCUAGAAUAGUGACUGUCACAUAGCGGGCACUCAGUAAAUACCCACUGUCUGAAUGAAUGUCUACGAAAAACAUUUGAUUUCAGGAAUAAUAAAGAACUGCAAAUUAAAAUAACAGUGAAAUAAAU